rnacentral:rRNA from 1 species
GAUGAACGCUGGCGGCGUGCCUAAUACAUGCAAGUCGAGCGAACGGACGAGAAGCUUGCUUCUCUGAUGUUAGCGGCGGACGGGAGAGUAACACGUGGAUAACCUACCUAUAAGACUGGGAUAAUUUCGGGAAACCGGAGCUGAUACCGGAUAAUAUUUCGAACCGGAUGGUUCAAAAGAGAAAGACGGUCUUGCUGUCACUUAUAGAUGGAUCCGCGCUGCAUUAGCUAGUUGGUAAGGUAACGGCGUACCAAGGCAACGAUGCAUAGCCGACCUGAGAGGGGGAUCGGCCACACUGGAACUGAGACACGGUCCAGACUCCUACUGGAGGCAGCAGUAGGGAAUCUUGCGCAAGGGGCGAAAGCCUGACGGAGCAACGCCGCGUGAGUGAUGAAGGUCUUCGGAUCGUAAAACUCUGUUAUUAGGGAAGAACAUAUGUGUAAGUAACUGUGCACAUCUUGACGUUACCUAAUCAGAAAGCCACGGCUAACUACGUG